rnacentral:rRNA from 1 species
UUAAACGGCCGCGGUAUUUUGACCGUGCAAAGGUAGCGCAAUCACUUGUCUUUUAAAUGAAGACCUGUAUGAAUGGUAGUACGAGGGCUUAACUGUCUCCCCCCUCCAGUCAAUGAAAUUGAUCUACCCGUGCAGAAGCGGGUAUAAUAAUACAAGACGAGAAGACCCUUUGGAGCUUAAGACAAAAGACCAACUAUGUCAAGAGACAAGAAACUAAACCAAAUAAUUCUGGUCUAAAUCUUCGGUUGGGGCGACCGCGGGAGAAAAUGAAGCUCCCACGCAAACAGGGACCCCCCUAAAACUAAGAAAGACAUCUCUAAGGCACAGAAUUUCUGACCACAAAGAUCCGGCUAUCUGCCGACCAACGGACCAAGUUACCCCAGGGAUAACAGCGCAAUCCCCUUUCAGAGUCCAUAUCGACAAGGGGGUUUACGACCUCGAUGUUGGAUCAGGACAUCCUAAUGGUGCAGCCGCUAUUAAGGGUUCGUUUG